UACGAAGGGGGCUAGCGUUGCUCGGAAUUACUGGGCGUAAAGGGCGCGUAGGCGGAUGUCUAAGUUGGGGGUGAAAUCCCGGGGCUCAACCUCGGAACCGCCUUCAAUACUGGAUAUCUUGAGUUCGGGAGAGGUGAGUGGAAUGCCGAGUGUAGAGGUGAAAUUCGUAGAUAUUCGGCGGAACACCAGUGGCGAAGGCGACUCACUGGCCCGAUACUGACGCUGAGGCGCGAAAGCCAGGGGAGCGAACGGG
rnacentral:rRNA from 1 species